UGGAGCUCAUAUGUUUCCUGUGCCAC
rnacentral:piRNA from 1 species